rnacentral:pre_miRNA from 1 species
UUUUUGCGUGGAUUGCAAUGAUUUGUACCGAUUCAUUGAUAGGUUAGAAGAUUGAUUUACUACUUUGAGUCGGUACGAAUCAUAUCAUACAUGCUUAAUCAUCGUAAAAU